rnacentral:rRNA from 1 species
AUUGAACGCUGGCGGCAGGCUUAACACAUGCAAGUCGAGCGGGGUGAUGGUGCUUGCACUAUCACUUAGCGGCGGACGGGUGAGUAAUGCUUAGGAAUCUGCCUACUAGUGGGGGACAACAUCUCGAAAGGGAUGCUAAUACCGCAUACGUCCUACGGGAGAAAGAAGGGGAUGAGUUGUGAACUUACUGUAAUAGAUGACACUAAGUAGGAUUAGCUAGUUGGUGGGGUAAAGGCCUACCAAGGCGACGAUCUGUAUCGGGUCUGAGAGGAUGAUCCGCCACACUGGGACUGAGACACGGCCCAGACUCCUACGGGAGGCAGCAGUGGGGAAUAUUGGACAAUGGGGGGAACCCUGAUCCAGCCAUGCCGCGUGUGUGAAGAAGGCCUUAUGGUUGUAAAGCACUUUAAGCGAGGAGGAGGCUCUUUUGGUUAAUACCCAAGAUGAGUGGACGUUACUCGCAGAAUAAGCACCGGCUAACUCUGUGCCAGCAGCCGCCGUAA